AAUCAGCCCUUAAAUCAGACUGUAGUUCACCUGGAGUAAAUCCAGCAGCUACCCUGCAGUAUACAAAGCCAUUCAAACUAUCAAUAAUUAUAAAACAUAUUGUUGUGAAUUCCCUGUGCUCUCCCAAACACUGCCUGCUAGAGGGCUAAUAAACAUUCAAACUUCCUGUCACAGAGUGCUACUGAUUAGGAAAGUGGCAGCAGGAGUGAGCAGGACACACUCAGGUGAACUGAUUACUUAAGAGCAGACGACUGGCGGCAAAGCCUGUCCAGUCCUGCAACCACAUGCGUCCUUGAGACUAAACCAUGUGUUGGACAAUUACAUGGAAUUAACUGCAUCUCCUGACUGGAACUCCUUUAUUCGAGCCACUUAAGUAGUCAGCAAUUCAAGCCGGCAAAAAUAUGAGUCAAAUUCAUUUCAUGGUCCUUCGAGUCGGAGACCAGUUGACUACUUAAGACUGAGGGAAUGCAGUUUCGGCCUAAUGGAGAAAACAACACCACUGGAGGAAGAGAGGAGGAAUCUUCCUGAACGACAAUGGAGAAUAUCUCAAUGCUAUAGAUUUGAGUAUGAAUAUCCUACACAAGCCACGUCAGGUUUCCAGAAGAUUUAAGGGAUGACACAGAGCCAGCUAGCCCUAGGAGAUCUUCUUUUAUGGAGAAAGAGCGCCUGGUUGAAAUAACAGGCUCAAUGAGGGAGAGUAAAAAGGAAGAAACAGCUGAAAUGGAACAUUUAAGAAGCAAGCUGGAGGAAUGGGGGAAAUGUGGAAAACAAAGACAGGAAAUGCUUGAACACAUUAACACACUGCUCAGGGGCCACGCUGCCAGCCCAACUUAUGAUGCUCAGAAAAUGUCCUCCCACAUUGAACAGGGAGUACCUCCCCUUCACCAUGACUUUCCCAGCAGCCCUGAAACACUUCAAGGACCUAAAUUAUUAGGUGGACCAAUCUGCACAAUGACUACAUUUCCUAUAGCUACUUUAAGUACAUUUUGAUGCUAAUACUUUUACUUGAGUAACAUUUUGAAUGCAGGAUUUAUACUUGUAACAGUAUUCCUACACAUUGUUCCUUUUACUCAAGUACAAGAUCUGAAUACUUUUCCCACCUAUGAUGUUUUGUAACUAUGAGUCAUCAGUAAGUCUGAAUUUCUGCCAAAACAGUAAAGCUUGAAAUCAGGGCUCUGGCUGCCCAGCAAAUGUGAGUUUGAGAUAGAAUAAACACAUAUUUAAAAUUGUUGUGCCUUUUAAAAAUAUUUAUUAAAACAGCAGUCUCACGUAUUGA